UCUGAUGUUUUUAUCUGUGUAUAGAUGGACCUGGAUUGUCCUGGGAUUGGAGACCGUCUGGAAAAACCAGGUGCUGUUAGUU
rnacentral:rRNA from 1 species